CGAACGGGUGAGUAACACGUGGGUAAUCAACCCUCGAUACUGGGAUAGCCCGGGGAAACCCGGAUUAAUACCGGAUGGCCCUUUGGAUCCUCGGAUCUGAAGGAAAAGGUAGCUUUGGCCUCCGAUCGAGGACGAGCCCGCGGCGGAUUAGCUUGUUGGUGAGGUAACGGCCCACCAAGGCGACGAUCCGUAGCUGGUCUGAGAGGACGAUCAGCCACACUGGGACUGAGACACGGCCCAG
rnacentral:rRNA from 1 species